UGAGGGGCAGAGAGUGAGAA
rnacentral:miRNA from 1 species